AUUGAACGCUGGCGGCAGGCUUAACACAUGCAAGUCGAGCGGGGAUUGGGUGCUUGCACCUAAUCUUAGCGGCGGACGGGUGAGUAAUGCUUAGGAAUCUGCCAUUUAGUGGGGGACAACAUUCCGAAAGGGAUGCUAAUACCGCAUACGCCCUACGGGGGAAAGCAGGGGAUCUUCGGACCUUGCGCUAAAUGAUGAGACUAAGUCGGAUUAGCUAGUUGGUGGGGUAAAGGCCUACCAAGGCGACGAUCUGUAGCGGGUCUGAGAGGAUGAUCCGCCACACUGGGACUGAGACACGGCCCAGACUCCUACGGGAGGCAGCAGUGGGGAAUAUUGGACAAUGGGCGAAAGCCUGAUCCAGCCAUGCCGCGUGUGUGAAGAAGGCCUUUUGGUUGUAAAGCACUUUAAGCGAGGAGGAGGCUACCUAGAUUAAUACUCUGGGAUAGUGGACGUUACUCGCAGAAUAAGCACCGGCUAACUCUAUGCCAGCAGCCGCCGUAAUAC
rnacentral:rRNA from 1 species